rnacentral:rRNA from 1 species
CCUACGGGUGGCUGCAGUGGGGAAUAUUGGACAAUGGGGGAACCCUGAUCCAGCCAUGCCGCGUGUGUGAAGAAGGCCCUCGGGUUGUAAAGCACUUUCAGUGAGGAAGAACGCCUGGUGGUUAAUACCCAUCAGGAAAGACAUCACUCACAGAAGAAGCACCGGCUAACUCCGUGCCAGCAGCCGCGGUAAUACGGAGGGUGCGAGCGUUAAUCGGAAUUACUGGGCGUAAAGCGCGCGUAGGUGGCUUGAUAAGCCGGUUGUGAAAGCCCCGGGCUCAACCUGGGAACGGCAUCCGGAACUGUCAAGCUAGAGUGCAGGAGAGGAAGGUAGAAUUCCCGGUGUAGCGGUGAAAUGCGUAGAGAUCGGGAGGAAUACCAGUGGCGAAGGCGGCCUUCUGGACUGACACUGACACUGAGGUGCGAAAGCGUGGGUAGCAAACAGGAUUAGAUACCCCGGUAGUC